rnacentral:rRNA from 1 species
CCUACGGGGGGCUGCAGUGGGGAAUAUUGGACAAUGGGCGAAAGCCUGAUCCAGCCAUGCCGCGUGUGUGAAGAAGGCCUUCGGGUUGUAAAGCACUUUCAGUGGGGAAGAAAGCCUUGGGGCUAAUACCCUCGAGGAAGGACAUCACCCACAGAAGAAGCACCGGCUAACUCCGUGCCAGCAGCCGCGGUAAUACGGAGGGUGCGAGCGUUAAUCGGAAUUACGGGGCGUAAAGCGCGCGUAGGCGGUCUGAUAAGCCGGUUGUGAAAGCCCCGGGCUCAACCUGGGAACGGCAUCCGGAACUGUCAGGCUAGAGUGCAGGAGAGGAAGGUAGAAUUCCCGGUGUAGCGGUGAAAUGCGUAGAGAUCGGGAGGAAUACCAGUGGCGAAGGCGGCCUUCUGGACUGACACUGACGCUGAGGUGCGAAAGCGUGGGUAGCAAACAGGAUUAGAUACCCGAGUAGUC